UGUUGAUUUUAUUAUUGACACAGUUCAGCCAGUGUCUUUGGUUGAUAAUCCAUCAUUUACUCUGAUGAUUAAAACUUUAUCCCCUGGCACAACAGUUUUAUGUCGCCAGACACUUAUGAAUAAAAUAGCCGACAACUUCAAAGUGAUGAAAGAUGCUCUAAUAGUAGAGUUAUCAUAUAUAUCUUAUGUAUGUACCACGGCAGAUAGUUGGACACAUAACAGAAGAGCUUAUUUGGGAAUCACAGGCCAUUGGUUAGACCCUAGGACUUUAAAAAGAAGAUCUGUAGCCUUAGCCCUUAAAAGGAUUAUAGGAUGCCAGACAUAUGACGUACUUGCAAAUAAAAUUAUUGACAUCCACAAGUCUUUUAGGAUUCAUAAUAAAGUUUGCAAGAUGGUUACUGAUAAUGGGUCUAACUACCUGAAGGCAUUUAGGCUAAUGGCGAAGCUGAAUAAUCUUACUCCAACAAACAGAGAUUGCCG